rnacentral:ncRNA from 2 species
GUGUUGUAUGAAAGGAGAGAUGUUUAGCACUCCCCUAGACAAGGAUGGACAACAUAUGUACCGGUAGGCACUGUCGCUUAUGGCGACUCUACCAACACAUUUUU